UCCAUCUGCUCGAAAUUUUUUAUUAUUACAUUUUAUACUUUUAAAUUUAUAUAUUUUUAUACUUAUGUCUACAAAAUUUUAAAAUUAUCACCCCCUUAAAAUUAUAAAAAAAUUCCUUUAUAUAAGUAAAAAUUUUCCAACUGAAAUUAUAAAAGAAUCCCUCUCAUAUGCGUGAAAAUGAAAGUAACAAAGAAGGUUGAACUGUUGGUGAAGGCGAUCAACAAGCUCAGGAGUGAGGUGGUGUAUUCCGACAGCUCCAUUCCAAAGGGGAUUGUUCGAGUUCAUACUUACCCUGAGGAUGAAGCUUCGCUCAACAAGAUGAUGAAGCUCGCGAACACGACGAUGGUUCAGGCCAUGUCUCUAAUGGCAGCUGACAUCCACACCAAUUACUUGGGUAAGGAAACUACCCUCCAAUUGCUGCGAAAUGGCGAAGCCAGCUGUGGUUCUUCCCACCCAUAGAUUCGGAGGUUCUAGUUUUAUCUCUCUCUCUCUCUCUCUCUCUCUAUAUAUAUAUAUAUAUAUAUCUAUAUAUAUAUAUAUAUAACAUAGGGUUUAUGUUCUUCAGUAGCAGGGAAGAAGGGAAUGUGUAUGUAUGUUUGGUUGUUUUUGGUACUUUAGUCUAUGUUAGUGUUUACGAUGGUGGUGGUACUUGUUAACUCUGUUCCUCAUUUAGUUACAUAGCAAUAUAGCAUCAUCUAUUAUGUGAUCUAUGUUUUUGAUGGAUUGGUAUUGUGAUUUUAAUUUUCCUUUUGUUUGUUGGUUGGGUUUAUGCUUGUUUGAAUUUUUAGGGUUUUUGACAGACUUUUUCUUGUUCUUGAGUGAGUUGAGUGCGGGACGUCAUGCAUCCGCAUAAAUUUGGGCAAAGAAAGGUUUAAGGUGGUUUUAGCAUGAUAAAUGUUUGAUAAAAUGCCCACUAGUAGUCCGUGUUUAAUAGUAAUGAUUUAAUUUUAUAACAUUAAUCUCCAGCUCAAGUUAACAUGGAGUAUCUUGCUUUUGUUGGUACACUAUCACUAUAUCUGUUGCUUGAUUAACUCUCAAGGUGCAGAAGGACUGUAUUGUUUAUGAGGUGCAAUACUGCAAUAUUGCUGAGAUUGAGGGUGAGGAGGACGAAGACUAUAAAUACUAUAAAUUCAAAUGAUUUGUUUUGUAUGCUAUUACUUUGGCAGAAUUAUAUUUUCCUUUUAGUUUGGGGUUUUUUGUACUUCUUUGAACUUGGCUCUUUCUUGUGUACUGAUAACUAUAAGCCUGCGUUGGCUUGAUGCUGCCGUAUUUGGUUGUGCUUUGCUUUAUCCAUCUUCACAAUAUCUGGUAUUACUAUAGGUAAUAGGUAUGAGUGCAUCCCAGAAGUUCAUACUAAGGCAUAACAUCGUUUAUAUAUGGUGGCAUUAAAUACGUUCAGUAGAGUACUAGCUGGCUAGAACAAUAUGCACAUGUAUUGCCAACAUAUAAUAUGAUAGCCAUUUGGAAAUUUGUGAUUAUUGUUUUACAGUCAUGGGUGACUUAAUAGGAGAAACUGGGGUUGCAGUGCCAUUGACACCCAUACUGCCAUUGAAAGUGCAAAAGAGUGUCCCUUGCACGCGGAUCAAACCAAGGAGACUGCUGACAAGUCCAAGUUAUGCUUCGGCCGAUUGGGGUGGGAAUAAAAAAGGAGAGAUUUUAAGGCCAUGGUUGUUGUGAUGGUAACUAGAAGAUGAUUGCAACAAUACAUUUCUCUAAGGACGGAAAGCGAGCAAGCGUACCAAAUGAAUCCUUUGUAAUAAAGAAGUACAGAAGGAGUCUCCUCUCCAAAAAAGGCCUGUCACCAGGAGAAGAUUCUUUGGACAAUAUGUUGUUAAGUUGGAAACUGAUACUUGCAGUGGGUUCUCUUCAUUUACCCAAUUUAAGGGCAAGGAGAGACCAUGUUACUGCAGUUUUUAUUGACUAACUUUAAAAGUCUCUCUGUCUCUCUCUGUCAUACACACACACACACAGGGGGGAGUGGAAUUUAAAUUAUCUCCAUAUAAGUCAAGAGGGGCAAAUUUUCACUAUGUAAUGCAGUCUAUCACCAUUAAGCAUGCCAUCUUUGUGGGCUUCACCCUACAACCCAAAUCUACUGCCGGCCUGUUAGCUUCAUUGACAUGCAUCUUCUAGAGGAAUGGCUCAGAACAUGUGGAUGUGGACCAAGAUAUGUGAUCCCAUGGAGAAGGCAAGUUGAAUUGAAAUGAAUACUUGUUCAUUCCAAGUCUUCUACUCAAGCAAUUGGUAUUUUUUUUUAAUCUGAGUUUCUCAUUUUUUUCCCUUCGAAAAAGUAAAGAAGGGUUUGCACCAUAUUGUUCAGUGAAUUGGGACAACUUAAAAGCUAUAGAGUCUGAAGAGGCAGUUGUGCCUCUUAAACAUGAUCAUUCCAAGCCCCAUUCAAAAUUGUCCAGACUAUUUCUCACCCCAAAGAAUACUCGACCAAUAAAAAUAUUAUCUCAAAGAGUUAUGUUAUUCUAAUCGGCUCUACAUGUGAGGGUCUAUAUAUAUAUAUAAGUCCGUGCAUGACUGGACCCAAGUGGGAAAGGGAAAAGAAAAUUAACUGUAAAAAGAGGACUAUAAAGGUAAGAGAAUUAAUUUUAUCAAAUAAUAAACAAAUUGCAGGAUUAACUUCUUGAUGUGAAAUGAACUAGAUUGGUUGUGUUUUGAAAUUAUGUACUCCAUAUGUGUGUUUAGGAGUUCUAUUUUUGGCUUUCUGUAAAAAAUAUUGUAGACUUUUGUACAUUUUAUCUAUCCUUUAAUUGCAAAGUA